UUUCUCCGCCGGCGACCGGCGCACGGGUGAGUAACACGUAUGCAACCUGCCCCUGUCAGGGGGCAACCCGCCGAAAGGCGGGCUAAACCCGCGUACAUGCCACCGGGGCAUCCCGGAGGCAGGAAAGGCUUCGGCCGGACAGGGAUGGGCAUGCGGCGCAUUAGGCAGUAGGCGGGGUAACGGCCCACCUAACCGACGAUGCGUAGGGGUUCUGAGAGGAAGGUCCCCCACACUGGUACUGAGACACGGACCAGACUCCUACGGAAGGCAGCAG
rnacentral:rRNA from 1 species